rnacentral:rRNA from 1 species
GGUUUGGCACCUCGAUGUCGGCUCAUCGCAUCCUGGAGCUGUAGCAGGUUCCAAGGGUUCGGCUGUUCGCCGAUUAAAGUGGUACGUGAGCUGGGUUUAGAACGUCGCGAGACAGUUCGGUCCCUAUCUGCCAUGGUCGCAGGAGAUUUGCGGGGGGCUGUCCUUAGUACGAGAGGACCGGGAUGGACGAACCUCUAGUGUACCAGUUGUCGCGCCAGCGGCAGCGCUGGGUAGCUACGUUCGGAAGGGAGAAACGCUGAAAGCAUCUAAGCGUGAAACCCUCCCCAAGAUGAGAUCUCCCGAGCCGUAAGGCUCCUGAAGGCUCCUGGAAGAUUACCAGGUGAUAGGCCAGGUGUGUAAGGCCAGCGAUGGUCUCAGCUAACUGGUACUAAUCAGCCGUGAGGCUUGACCUUUUUAUU